CAGUCGAACGAAGCACUUUAUUUGAUUUCCUUCGGGACUGAUUAUUUUGUCACUGAGUGGCGGACGGGUGAGUAACGCGUGGGUAACCUGCCUUGUACAGGGGGAUAACAGUUGGAAACGGCUGCUAAUACCGCAUAAGCGCACAGCAUCGCAUGAUGCAGUGUGAAAAACUCCGGUGGUAUAAGAUGGACCCGCGUUGGAUUAGCUAGUUGGUGAGGUAACGGCCCACCAAGGCGACGAUCCAUAGCCGACCUGAGAGGGUGACCGGCCACAUUGGGACUGAGACACGGCCCAAACUCCUACGGGAGGCAGCAGUGGGGAAUAUUGCACAAUGGGCGAAAGCCUGAUGCAGCGACGCCGCGUGAGCGAAGAAGUAUUUCGGUAUGUAAAGCUCUAUCAGCAGGGAAGAUAAUGACGGUACCUGACUAAGAAGCUCCGGCUAAAUACGUGCCAGCAGCCGCGGUAAUACGUAUGGAGCAAGCGUUAUCCGGAUUUACUGGGUGUAAAGGGUGCGUAGGUGGCAGUGCAAGUCAGAUGUGAAAGGCCGGGGCUCAACCCCGGAGCUGCAUUUGAAACUGCUCGGCUAGAGUACAGGAGAGGCAGGCGGAAUUCCUAGUGUAGCGGUGAAAUGCGUAGAUAUUAGGAGGAACACCAGUGGCGAAGGCGGCCUGCUGGACUGUUACUGACACUGAGGCACGAAAGCGUGGGGAGCAAACAGGAUUAGAUACCCUGGUAGU
rnacentral:rRNA from 1 species